CUCAACUAGUUUCCCAUCUUACGUUUAGAGGGAAUGUUCGAGACGAUAUAUCAUCUCAAACGUGCAACGAACAUCAAAAUUACAGACUUCUCAUUGAUAAGUUCUCAAUUAUCAGCGUCAAGUGAUACUAUUGAUAUCCUUGGACUAAAGCGAUCCAAUCAGUAAUCCAUUAUCCUGGCAAAAACGAAAGUUGUCAGGUUGAUCUGGAUGUGAUGAUGAAUUAUGUAUGGCAUCAAAGGGCUAUGUUACAUGAACUUAUGUAUGUAUGUAUAUACAAUCAGAUAGAUAAGACAAUAUCAACAGAUUACUAUAAAAGCUUGGAAAAUAAUGCUACAUUAAUUAACCAUGAAGCAAAAUAACAACAUGCUUUUAUUUAUUCUUUUUUAUAUUUAGUUAGCAGCCUACAUAAUUAUCCAAUAAUGCAAAAGUCACAAUUAUUUUUUGCAAUUUGUGUACUUACGGGUUCAAUAUUGGCGCAGAGGGCUAGACUCUUCGAUAACGGAAAUUGUACCGGGAUCCCAUUAGCAGAAACUACAACAGUUGAGCAUUACUUGAUUAAUAGUAAUGCUCCCAACGUAACCAGGGGGACUCGAGUAUACGGCAUGUAACCGAAAAAUAUAUACACAAAUCGAGUGGGAUGGGAAAUCGAAGAAUGUCAACCAGCAGAAAAUUUCAGCAUCUAUUGUCACGCUGAGAUCAUUUUGGAUUACGAUACGACCUGUCAUCCCUUAACCAUGGAUAUGCCCUACGUUAUUGCAAUGUCCAGUCGUGCGUAUGAGCUAGAUGAGCCUAAUCUAACCCUGUACGGCGAACCCGGUUUAAAUUCCACGUUUCAAAAUUUCCUUGACACCAGGCCUACAACUAGGAUAUCCCAGUGGCAGUCGUAUUUCAUUGUGGGAACGAAAAGUUGGUUAAUUUAUGAAGAACCUGAUUAUAAGGGGAAUUCGACAUGUUUAAGUCCAAGUGAAGAUGUGAUAGAUCGCGGAUAUGGAAUUACAUUAGUGAUGGAAGGACUUGAUGUAAUGCUUUUAGGAAGUGUACGAAAAACUGAGAGAAAUUGUCCACCUGAAGGAUCCGGUGGUAGUAAGAAGAUAAUUCCAAGAUUAACUAUUUUAAUUGGGUUUCUUAUUGUUACUUUGAUGAUUAUCUAUAAGUAAUUAUUUAUGAUUUGACUUCCUUCCAUUAAGUAAUUAUUCUUAAAUAUAUGUAAUAAAUGCAGACACAAUUACAUUAAAAA